UUUUGACCUCGCGUGCGGUUUACUUCCAAACAGACGUUUACCUUUUUGGAAAAAGUGCGCGCUCCACUCGCUUCUCCACCGCUGUGAUCCUCCUGUCGGCUUCAAAAUGGCGCCAAUUUGUCCCUAUCUGCACCAGUCAGUGCAGCUCUGCUCAACACAGACGCUUCUCCCUCCUCCUCCACUCGCGGUUAUUUAUUUAACAGCAUAACUGCGUGCUUUGAGAUUAUAUUGGCAGUUUUGCUGUUAGAAACAGAAACAAGUUGCUGUAAUAGUGACGGAAAUGGCUUGUGUAAAAGCGAGCGUUUGUGUGGAGUCGCGGGCAGGUUGGAGUGUGGUGUAACAGCGACUCCUACAGGACAUGAGAAGAAUAACAGCCAGUCUCCGCCUUCAUUUGACAGAGAAUCCCGGACGCUCAUGUGACUGGAAACCCCUCGGCUCGUACCAUCUGUCUGAAGGCACCGGAGGCCCUCGCCAUGGGCCCCAGCUGUUGUUAUUGCAAGCAUGAGGACUGUUGAAAUCCUCCCGAGGUUUCAACAUGUCUGGAGGAUACAUUUCGGGGCCUCCAGAGGUCGGGGGAGGAAAGAAAUGAACCCUCGGGUCUGGAGGAACCCAUGGUGGAGGUGGAAGAGGAGGAGGUGGAGAAACAUACCAAGGCUCCUGAGGUAAUCGAGGUCUCCAUCUUUUUGGAUCUCUUUGGCUGCGUUCGUAUGGAUCUGGGUAGGGUCUAUAGGAUCUACUGUGAUCUGUUAUCACAACAGGAAUGUUCAUAUGCGUUUGUAGGCCACUUUCAGGUGGACAAACACCAGCAGGUUUGGUGUCAGUUUCAUCACUGACUUGUUCUUGGUCUACUUCAUCAAGCUCUUUGUAAAACUCUGAAAGCUCCUUUUCGAGGGAUGGCUUGGGACGGCACGCAGGUCCGAUAAAUGCAGAGCUUGUGACACCCAAAUCUUUAAUGAUUCGCUCCCUGUCGAUUAGGCUAGUGGGACAUCUUUCUUUCGCAUUACAGUAUGUUUGUGUUGAAGGAUCCAGUUGUUGGCCAUCUGGAUUCACAUCAGUCUUCAAAUGACUUCCAUCAGGUAGAUUAAUCUUCUGGUUACUGGAAGAUUUAUACACGGGUGAUGGGGUUUUAUAGAGUUCGUCUACAUUUCCACCAUUGGGUGGAGAAGUAGAUUCCUUGGCAUUCACAUUUGGCAUCUAUAAAAGAUAAUAAAACUGAAUGGUUACAUAUAAAAUUACAGUAAUAUGUACAUUCAUAGAGUAGUUACGUAUUGCACAAAGAGGAAUGCAUUUGUAUAACGUUAGCAAGUCGUAAGAUGAUGGAGGUUUCUGUUUUACUGCUUCACAACUAUUAUUCACUGUUUUAAUAAAGCCUAAUUCAUUUAUAUAC
rnacentral:lncRNA from 1 species